rnacentral:rRNA from 1 species
GAUGAACGCUGGCGGCGUGCCUAAUACAUGCAAGUCGAGCGAACGGACGAGAAGCUUGCUUCUCUGAUGUUAGCGGCGGACGGGUGAGUAACACGUGGAUAACCUACCUAUAAGACUGGGAUAACUUCGGGAAACCGUAGCUAAUACCGGAUAAUAUUUUGAACCGCAUGGUUCAAAAGUGAAAGACGGUCUUGCUGUCACUUAUAGAUGGAUCCGCGCUGCAUUAGCUAGUUGGUAAGGUAACGGCUUACCAAGGCAACGAUGCAUAGCCGACCUGAGAGGGUGAUCGGCCACACUGGAACGGAGACACGGUCCAGACUCCUACUGGAGGCAGCAGUAGGGAAUCUUCCGCAAAGGGCGAAAGCCUGACGGAGCAACGCCGCGUGAGUGAUGAAGGUCUUCGGAUCGUAAAGCUCUGUUAUUAGGGAAGAACAUAUGUGUAAGUAACUGUGCACAUCUUGACGGUACCUAAUCAGAAAGCCACGGCUAACUACGUG